rnacentral:rRNA from 1 species
UACGAAGGGGGCUAGCGUUGCUCGGAAUCACUGGGCGUAAAGCGCACGUAGGCGGCCUUUUAAGUCAGGGGUGAAAUCCUGGAGCUCAACUCCAGAACUGCCUUUGAUACUGAGAAGCUUGAGUCCGGGAGAGGUGAGUGGAACUGCGAGUGUAGAGGUGAAAUUCGUAGAUAUUCGCAAGAACACCAGUGGCGAAGGCGGCUCACUGGCCCGGUACUGACGCUGAGGUGCGAAAGCGUGGGGAGCAAACAGG